UACGUAGGGGGCAAGCGUUAUCCGGAAUUACUGGGUGUAAAGGGUGCGUAGGUGGCAUGGUAAGACAGAUGUGAAAACUUGGGGCUCAACUUCAAGAUUGCAUCUGAAACUGCUAAGCUAGAGUGCAGGAGAGGAAAGCGGAAUUCCGAGUGUAGCGGUGAAAUGCGUAGAGAUUCGGAGGAACACCAGUAGCGAAGGCGGCUUUCUGGACUGUAACUGACACUGAGGCACGAAAGCGUGGGGAGCGAACAGG
rnacentral:rRNA from 1 species